rnacentral:snRNA from 1 species
AUCGCUUCUUGGUCUUUUGGCUAAGAUCAUGUGUAGUAUCUGUUCUUACCAGUUUAAUAAAUUCUGGCUAUUAAGCCUCAGAAGAGCAGCUAGC